rnacentral:misc_RNA from 1 species
GAUGAAGAACGUAGGGAAAUGCGAUACGUAAUGUGAAUUGCAGAAUUCAGUGAAUCAUCGAAUCUUUGAACGCAAAUUGCGCUCUCUGGUAUUCCGGAGAGCAUGCUUGUUUGAGUAUCAGUAAACACCUCAACUUCCAUAUCUUUUUUGAAAUGGGAGUUGGACUUGAGUGAUCCCAACGCUUUUCCUCACCGAAAAGUGGCGGGUUACUUGAAAUGCAGGUGCAGCUGGACUUUUCUCUGAGCUAUAAGCAUAUCUAUUUAGUCUGCCUAAAAAACAGAUUAUUACCUUUGCUGCAGCUAACAUAAAGGAGAUUAGUUCUUGUGCUGACUGAUGCAGGAUUCACAAAGACAGGCUUCGGCCGACUUUGUAAACUCGAUCUCAAAUCAAGUAAGACUACCCGCUGAACUUAAGCAUAUCAAUAAGCGGAGGA